GACGAACGCUGGCGGCGUGCUUAACACAUGCAAGUCGAACGGAAAGGCCCUUCUUUUGUGGGGUGCUCGAGUGGCGAACGGGUGAGUAACACGUGAGUAACCUGCCCUUGACUUUGGGAUAACUUCAGUAAACUGGGGCUAAUACCGGAUAUGAGCUCCUGCUGCAUGGUGGGGGUUGGAAGGUUUCGGCGGUUGGGGAUGGACUCGCGGCUUAUCAGCUUGUUGGUGGGGUAGUGGCUUACCAAGGCUUUGACGGGUAGCCGGCCUGAGAGGGUGACCGGCCACAUUGGGACUGAGAUACGGCCCAGACUCCUACGGGAGGCAGCAGUGGGGAAUAUUGCACAAUGGGCGGAAGCCUGAUGCAGCAACGCCGCGUGCGGGAUGACGGCCUUCGGGUUGUAAACCGCUUUCGCCUGUGACGAAGCGUGAGUGACGGUAAUGGGUAAAGAAGCACCGGCUAACUACGUG
rnacentral:rRNA from 1 species